UCGGGAAUUUUGGGCAAUGGGCGAAAGCCUGACCCAGCAACGCCGCGUGAAGGAUGAAGUAUUUCGGUAUGUAAACUUCGAAAGAAUAGGAAGAAUAAAUGACGGUACUAUUUAUAAGGUCCGGCUAACUACGUGCCAGCAGCCGCGGUAAUACGUAGGUCCCAAGCGUUAUCCGGAAUUACUGGGCGUAAAGGGCGCGUAGGCGGCAAUUCAAGUCAUCUGUGAAAUCUCCGGGCUUAACUCGGAACGGUCAGAUGAUACUGCUUUGCUAGAGUGCAGAAGGGGCAAUCGGAAUUCUUGGUGUAGCGGUGAAAUGCGUAGAUAUCAAGAGGAACACCUGAGGUGAAGACGGGUUGCUGGGCUGACACUGACGCUGAGGCGCGAAAGCCAGGGGAGCAAACGGGAUUAGAUACCCCUGUAGUCCCUGAGCGGGCUGGCAAGGCGCAU
rnacentral:rRNA from 1 species